rnacentral:antisense_RNA from 1 species
GAUAGCCAAAAAUCCGAAGUGGAUUGAGUGUUGGAUGAUUGAUUACCCUGACGUUUCCACCGCCACCUACCCAAGGAUCAAACAGUCCACCCCAAAACAUUGCCUUCGCAACCAAAAGCCAAGCACCCACGCCUAAAAUCACUAGGUGAAUGCCUAAGAUUGUGGUCAUCUUAUCUUUGUCUUUCCA